rnacentral:rRNA from 1 species
GUGACUGAGUGGCGGACGGGUGAGUAACGCGUGGGUAACCUGCCUCAUACAGGGGGAUAACAGUUAGAAAUGACUGCUAAUACCGCAUAAGACCACAGCACCGCAUGGUGCAGGGGUAAAAACUCCGGUGGUAUGAGAUGGACCCGCGUCUGAUUAGCUAGUUGGUAAGGUAACGGCUUACCAAGGCGACGAUCAGUAGCCGACCUGAGAGGGUGACCGGCCACAUUGGGACUGAGACACGGCCCAAACUCCUACGGGAGGCAGCAGUGGGGAAUAUUGCACAAUGGGGGAAACCCUGAUGCAGCGACGCCGCGUGAGCGAAGAAGUAUUUCGGUAUGUAAAGCUCUAUCAGCAGGGAAGAAAAUGACGGUACCUGACUAAGAAGCACCGGCUAAAUACGUGCCAGCAGCCGCGGUAAUACGUAUGGUGCAAGCGUUAUCCGGAUUUACUGGGUGUAGAGGGAGCGUAGACGGAUGGGCAAGUCUGAUGUGAAAACCCGGGGCUCAACCCCGGGACUGCACUGGAAACUGUUCAUCUAGAGUGCUGGAGAGGUAAGUGGAAUUCCUAGUGUAGCGGUGAAAUGCGUAGAUAUUAGGAGGAACACCAGUGGCGAAGGCGGCCUACUGGACAGUAACUGACGU